UACGUAGGGUGCGAGCGUUAAUCGGAAUUACUGGGCGUAAAGCGUGCGCAGGCGGUUCUCCAAGUCCGUUGUGAAAGCCCCGGGCUCAACCUGGGAAUGGCAGUGGAAACUAGGGGACUGGAAUCUGGCAGAGGGGGGUGGAAUGCCGCGUGUAGCAGUGAAAUGCGUAGAGAUGCGGCGGAACACCGAUGGCGAAGGCAGCCCCCUGGGCUGAGAUUGACGGCUCAGGCACGAAAGCGUGGGGAGCAAACAGG
rnacentral:rRNA from 1 species